CCUUCUUUCAACUUCGGUCUUCUUCUUCCUUGAGCUCUGACCCUUCAAGAGUUCUUCUUCCUCAAGUUCUAGCUCUUCAAGAAUUCUUCUUCCUCAAGAAUUCCAAACGAAAUUAGCUUCCUCCCUUUAAAUUCCCAAUCUCCUCCUUCCCCUCCUCUUCUAAUUCGGAUUCGAGCAAACGAGGAAGAUUCAAGGCUAGGAUUUCGUCUUUCUUCUUACCCCUUCAAGCUUCAAGAACUUGGAUUAGCCAUGUCGACGAGGAGAUCGCGCCUCCCGGGGACCCGCUUAGCUACUCAAUCGCCUAAGAGGGAGCGUCCAUCUUUUACUGAUAUAAUUAUUGCAUACAUGCAUAUUUUUUCAUCAAGACGAUCCUAGAGGGAAGGGAGACAAUAAAUAUUGAAGCCUUACAAAGGGAGUUAUUCGA